rnacentral:pre_miRNA from 1 species
AGUUUUCUGAAUCUAAGCAGAGAUUUCGUCAGACACCAACUCAUUAGCUCUGAUCAGACUCCUAAGAUAAGUAAAGUU